AACAAGGGGUUCCACCCAUCCUUUGCGGGCUCUCCUCUAGACCGGGUUCAAUUGUUAGGGUUGAAAUUAAGAUUGCUUACUGGCAUGAUGAAAAGGGUAAAAGGGUGUGGAGAAGACGGAGGUGCUUCCAAUUCCAUUUCCAUGGAGGAGGUUAAUAGGAUAUCCGAUUUGCCAGAAGGGUUAUUGCAGAGGAUUUUUUAUUUUCUCUCACAAGAAGAUGCUGUCCGAACCUCUGUAUUGUCCAAAUCAUGGCGCUACAUUUGGUGCACUCGCCCUAAUUUCGAUCUUUCAGAACCCAACUUCAAAGGAAACAAACAUCAGUUUAUAUCCGCUGUGGAAAACACUUUGCAGCGAUACACUGAUCCUAAUGGGCUGUCGUUGGAGGAAUUUAACCUAACUCUAUCGCUGCUUGGUGGAGGCGACGAUAAUCACUGAUUUUGUCCGUAGGUCUUCGUCUUCCUCAAGCCAGCUUCGUCCGUACUCCGGUGGACAGACCUGCAACGCCGGGAGGGGUUCCCGGCGGGAAAGCUCCGACGAUCAAGUCAGUGAUCGGAAUAAAGGGAGAGACGUGUAUGUAAUGUAAUAGUAAUAAGUGUAUAUUCUCGUGUGUGUACGUAUGUUGAUUCUCCUAUUUAUAGAUGAGGAAAGCUUGGCCUCCAAGGCUUUCCUUUUUUAGGGU